GGCUGUCCAUAUGCUUGUUGAGGUGGGUAACCAACCGAGGGAGGAAUGGGUUGAUCAAUGCGUGACAUCUGUUGAAAAGGAGGCACCGCCAUGACUGGUUGUGGCCCAAAUUUGCCAUCUCGUUUGUCCAUUUCAAUCUUGUGUUGUGUCUGCAUACAGGCACAAACCGUGCAAUACACCAUAUCAGCCAAACAUGAGAGUAAUUGAGAAGCCUCUUGAAUUUCCUCACUGCCAACAAUCAUUGCAACGAUUGAGAAUAUACAUGCAAUUUGUUGUAGACAGAACAUAAAACCAAUAAUGCAAUUAUCACAUUGCGUUGUUUGAAUGUUAAAUUCAUCUUGCAAUAGAAAGCGGGUAGAGGCCACUGAAUUUCC
rnacentral:misc_RNA from 1 species